GUUUUUGUAGUCCAACUGCUAGGAUAAUUGCCUUCCAAGCAAUAGACCAGGGUUCGACUCCCGGCAAACUAAUACA